CCUACGUGUGGCAGCAGUGGGGAAUAUUGGACAAUGGGCGAAAGCCUGAUCCAGCCAUGCCGCGUGUGUGAAGAAGGCCUUCGGGUUGUAAAGCACUUUCAGUGGGGAAGAAAGCCUUGGGGCUAAUACCCUCGAGGAAGGACAUCACCCACAGAAGAAGCACCGGCUAACUCCGUGCCAGCAGCCGCGGUAAUACGGAGGGUGCGAGCGUUAAUCGGAAUUACUGGGCGUAAAGCGCGCGUAGGCGGUCUGAUAAGCCGGUUGUGAAAGCCCCGGGCUCAACCUGGGAACGGCAUCCGGGACUGUCAGGCUAGAGUGUAGGAGAGGAAGGUAGAAUUCCAGGUGUAGCGGUGAAAGGCGUAGAGAUGGGGAGGAACACCAGUGGCGAAGGCGGCCUUCUGGACUGACACUGACGCUGAGGCGCGAAAGCGUGGGUAGCAAACAGGAUUAGAUACCCCAGUAGUC
rnacentral:rRNA from 1 species